AAUUUGAUGAUACGCGAGGAACUUUACCCGGGCUCAAACGACACAGGAAUACUUUUGAAAGGAGGUAGCUCUUCGGAGCUUGUGUCGAGGUGCUGCAUGGUUGUCGUCAGCUCGUGCCGUGAGGUGUCGGCUUAAGUGCCAUAACGAGCGCAACCCCCAUCGCCAGUUACCAGCAAGUCAAGUUGGGGACUCUGGCGAGACUGCCGGCGCAAGCUGUGAGGAAGGCGGGGAUGACGUCAAAUCAGCACGGCCCUUACGUCCGGGGCGACACACGUGUUACAAUGGCAGGUACAGAGAGAAGCAAUGCGGCGACGCAAAGCGGAACUUGAAAGCCUGUCUCAGUUCGGAUUGGAGUCUGCAACUCGACUCCAUGAAGCUGGAUUCGCUAGUAAUCGCGCAUCAGCCAUGGCGCGGUGAAUACGUUCCCGGGCCUUGUACACACCGCCCGUCAAGCCAUGGAAGCCGGGAGUGCCUGAAGUGUGCAACCGCAAGGAGCGCCCUAAGGUAAAACUGGUGACUGGGGCUAAGUCGUAACAAGGUAGCCGU
rnacentral:rRNA from 1 species